rnacentral:rRNA from 1 species
AUCUAAGUACCCCGAGGAAAAGAAAUCAACCGAGAUUCCCCCAGUAGCGGCGAGCGAACGGGGAGGAGCCCAGAGCCUGAAUCAGCAUGUGUGUUAGUGGAAGCGUCUGGAAAGGCGCGCGAUACAGGGUGACAGCCCCGUACACAAAAGCGCAUGUGCUGUGAGCUCGAUGAGUAGGGCGGGACACGUGGUAUCCUGUCUGAAUAUGGGGGGACCAUCCUCCAAGGCUAAAUACUCCUGACUGACCGAUAGUGAACCAGUACCGUGAGGGAAAGGCGAAAAGAACCCCGGCGAGGGGAGUGAAAAAGAACCUGAAACCGUGUACGUACAAGCAGUGGGAGCACCCUUCGGGGUGUGACUGCGUACCUUUUGUAUAAUGGGUCAGCGACUUAUAUUCUGUAGCAAGGUUAACCGUAUAGGGGAGCCGGAGGGAAACCGAGUCUUAAU